AGCCCGACCUCAACAAAGGUGCACUAACUACACACUACACCCGCCAGAGAAUUACGAGCAACUUGCUUAAAACUCAAAGGACUUGACGGUGUUUCGAACCCGCCUAGAGGAGCCUGUCCUAUAAUCGACAACACACGAUCCACCCAACCAUCUUUUGCCCUAAACAGCCUGUAUACCGCCGUCGCAAGCUUAGCCCAUGAGGGACAAGUACCUAGCACAAUAACUCACUUCUGAGCUAGUACGUCAGGUCAAGGUGCAGCCAAUAAGUUGGUAGAGAUGGGCUACAUUUUCUACACUAUAGAAACCAGUCACGGAGAGGCCUGUGAAACCAGGACUGUCAAAGACGGAUUUAGCAGUAAAUCAGGAGAAGAGUGCCUAAUUGAAGACGGCCCCGAAAUAUGU
rnacentral:rRNA from 1 species